rnacentral:rRNA from 1 species
CGUGUAGGCGGUUAGGUAAGUGGGAUGUGAAAGCCCCCGGCUCACCCGGGGAUCUGCAUUCCAAACUGCCUGACUUGAGUAUGGGAGAGGAUAGGGGAAUUCCUGGUGUAGCGGUGAAAUGCGUAGAUAUCAGGAGGAACACCGGUGGCGAAGGCGCCUAUCUGGCCCAAUACUGACGCUGAGGCGCGAAAGCUAGGGGAGCAAACGGGAUUAGAUACCCCGGUAGUCCUAGCCGUAAACGGUGAGCACUAGGUGUUGGAGGCAUCGACCCCUCCAGUGCCGCAGCUAACGCACUAAGUGCUCCGCCUGGGGAGUACGGCCGCAAGGUUGAA